AGUGAACGCUGGCGGUAGGCCUAACACAUGCAAGUCGAACGGCAGCACAGUAAGAGCUUGCUCUUACGGGUGGCGAGUGGCGGACGGGUGAGGAAUACAUCGGAAUCUACUUUUUCGUGGGGGAUAACGUAGGGAAACUUACGCUAAUACCGCAUACGACCUACGGGUGAAAGCAGGGGAUCUUCGGACCUUGCGCGAUUGAAUGAGCCGAUGUCGGAUUAGCUAGUUGGCGGGGUAAAGGCCCACCAAGGCGACGAUCCGUAGCUGGUCUGAGAGGAUGAUCAGCCACACUGGAACUGAGACACGGUCCAGAGUCCUACGGGAGGCAGCAGUGGGGAAUAUUGGACAAUGGGCGCAAGCCUGAUCCAGCCAUACCGCGUGGGUGAAGAAGGCCUUCGGGUUGUAAAGCCCUUUUGUUGGGAAAGAAAAGCAGCAGGUUAAUACCCCGCUGUUCUGACGGUACCAAAAGAAUAAGCACCGGCUAACUUCGUG
rnacentral:rRNA from 1 species